rnacentral:rRNA from 1 species
AGAGUUUGAUCCUGGCUCAGGAUGACUUCUAGCGGCAGGCUUAACACAUGCAAGUCGAGGGGCAGCGGGGAGGAAGCUUGCUUUCUCCGCCGGCGACCGGCGCACGGGUGAGUAACACGUAUGCAACCUGCCCCUGUCAGGGGGACAACCCGCCGAAAGGCGGGCUAAACCCGCGUACAUGCCACCGGGGCAUCCCGGAGGCAGGAAAGGCUUCGGCCGGACAGGGAUGGGCAUGCGGCGCAUUAGGCAGUAGGCGGGGUAACGGCCCACCUAACCGACGAUGCGUAGGGGUUCUGAGAGGAAGGUCCCCCACACUGGUACUGAGACACGGACCAGACUCCUACGGGAGGCAGCAGUGAGGAAUAUUGGUCAAUGGUCGGGAGACUGAACCAGCCAAGCCGCGUGAGGGAGGAAGGUACAGAGUAUCGUAAACCUCUUUUGUCAGGGAACAAAGGCGGGGACGUGUCCCCGGAUGAGUGUACCUGAAGAAAAAGCAUCGGCUAACUCCGUGCCAGCAGCCGCGGUAAUACGGAGGAUGCGAGCGUUAUCCGGAUUUAUUGGGUUUAAAGGGUGCGCAGGCGGUCUGUUAAGUCAGCGGUCAAAGCCCGGGGCUCAACCCCGGCCCGCCGUUGAAACUGGCAGUCUCGAGUUGGAGAGAAGUAUGCGGAAUGCGCGGUGUAGCGGUGAAAUGCAUAGAUAUCGCGCAGAACUCCGAUUGCGAAGGCAGCAUGCCGGCUCCACACUGACGCUGAGGCACGAAAGCGUGGGUAUCGAACAGGAUUAGAUACCCUGGUAGUCCACGCAGUAAACGAUGAAUGCUGGCUGUCCGGGGGGAUUGACCCCUGGGUGGCGAAGCGAAAGCGAUAAGCAUUCCACCUGGGGAGUACGCCGGCAACGGUGAAACUCAAAGGAAUUGACGGGGGCCCGCACAAGCGGAGGAACAUGUGGUUUAAUUCGAUGAUACGCGAGGAACCUUACCCGGGCUCAAACGGGGAGUGACUCAGGCAGAGACGCCUGUUUCCCACGGGACACUCCCCGAGGUGCUGCAUGGUUGUCGUCAGCUCGUGCCGUGAGGUGUCGGCUUAAGUGCCAUAACGAGCGCAACCCCCGCGUGCAGUUGCUAACAGAUAACGCUGAGGACUCUGCACGGACUGCCGGCGCAAGCCGCGAGGAAGGCGGGGAUGACGUCAAAUCAGCACGGCCCUUACGUCCGGGGCGACACACGUGUUACAAUGGGUGGUACAGCGGGAAGCCAGGCGGCGACGCCGAGCGGAACCCGAAAUCCACUCUCAGUUCGGAUCGGAGUCUGCAACCCGACUCCGUGAAGCUGGAUUCGCUAGUAAUCGCGCAUCAGCCAUGGCGCGGUGAAUACGUUCCCGGGCCUUGCACACACAGCCCGUCAAG